GCCCGCUUAGCUCAGUGGUAGAGCGCGUCACUCGUACCUCCCGCGUUAGCGGACGCUUUGAAGGCAUGACGAGGUCGGUUGUUCGAUCCAGCCAGCGGGCA
rnacentral:tRNA from 1 species